GAUGAACGCUAGCUACAGGCUUAACACAUGCAAGUCGAGGGGGAACGACAUCGAAAGCUUGCUUUUGAUGGGCGUCGACCGGCGCACGGGUGAGUAACGCGUAUCCAACCUGCCCACCACUUGGGGAUAACCUUGCGAAAGUAAGACUAAUACCCAAUGAUAUCUCUAGAAGACAUCUGAAAGAGAUUAAAGAUUUAUCGGUGAUGGAUGGGGAUGCGUCUGAUUAGCUUGUUGGCGGGGUAACGGCCCACCAAGGCUUCGAUCAGUAGGGGUUCUGGGAGGAAGGUCCCCCACAUUGGAACUGAGACACGGUCCAAACUCCUACGGGAGGCAGCAGUGAGGAAUAUUGGUCAAUGGACGGGAGUCUGAACCAGCCAAGUAGCGUGCAGGAUGACGGCCCUAUGGGUUGUAAACUGCUUUUAUAAGGGAAUAAAGUGAGUCUCGUGAGACUUUUUGCAUGUACCUUAUGAAUAAGGACCGGCUAAUUCCGUGCCAGCAGCCGCCGUAA
rnacentral:rRNA from 1 species